ACCAUCAAAAAUAAAAGCAACAGCAGAAAAGGGCGCCCAGCACCCUUUAGGGGCGCCCAGGCGCCAGUUUUCUGGCAAAACGCCGAAUCAAAGGGUGCCCAGCGCCCUCCAGGGGCGCCCAGGCGUGAACUCUGCAGAUUUUUCUGCAGAAUUUGCAGUUUUGGAAGAACUCACACCCCUAGUUUCAUUUUAGGCCUUUUGGUGAACUUUGGACACUCCUAACUCGAAAUACAAGUUGAAUCUAACUUGUUUGAAGUCUUACACACCAUCCUAACUCNAAACUCUAAGAGAUAUGCAAGGAAAUUGGAUCUAAAACUCUAAUAUGAUUCACCUAGGAGCUCAAACUCAAAUCUACCACUUGUAAUCUGUUUUUGGCUGUUUUGACACUUCUCACAAGUCACUUUUGACUUAACUAAACCAUUCUAAGAGCCUAAUUCGACCUUUAACCCAUAAUUCUCGAAAUCACCCUCUCACUUCCUCUAAGACGACCUAAGGACAACAUAAUCCACCUAACUUGACCUCUAUUAACAUGUAUAACAGUUUUCAUCUCUUCUAAUACUCAAUCCAGUACCCUACCUUAUACAGUUCACUUCAUAUGCAUCCAUUCACAACUUUAUACAUUUUAGAAAACAUAGGAUCUCAUACUCUCAUACACAAAAUCAUUUAAUUUCAGCUCAAACACAAUACUCCACAAUAUACAACCUACACAUGCAUUAUUUUACAACAUCCACAGGCCACAAUUCAUGCAU
rnacentral:lncRNA from 1 species